rnacentral:lncRNA from 1 species
AAAAUAGUCCAGGACUGGCACAACUGUUCUAGGAAGUUACCAAGGCUCUGCAAAGGCAUCUGAGGGGACUCAGGAAGCACGUGAGCCUACAGCUGAACUUCACUGUAGAAAGUUGUAAGAAAGGCCAAGAACUGAAGCAGAAGAGCAAGCAAGAAAGAAAAUUCUCUGCAGGCUCUGUCUUGUACUGGAGUUGCUACCUUUAGCCCACUGGAUCACUGUGCUUGAAAUUCCCACAUUAUUCAUUCUGCAAAGUUAAGACAUAAAGUAAGAUCCUGACAAAAGAGCCUUUCCUUUGACCAGGUAAUUCCAGUUUCUGAAGUUCACAUUUUAAAAAUAACCUAAGAGAAAUAAAAAGCUAGAAGCACAGUGGUGCUCACUGAGAUAUUACCUCUAAUAACAGAGAGAGGAAAAUAAUAAAAAAUAGCCAAUAUGAGGAG